rnacentral:rRNA from 1 species
UAAUGUCUGGGAAACUGCCUGAUGGAGGGGGAUAACUACUGGAAACGGUAGCUAAUACCGCAUAACGUCGCAAGACCAAAGUGGGGGACCUUCGGGCCUCAUGCCAUCAGAUGUGCCCAGAUGGGAUUAGCUAGUAGGUGGGGUAACGGCUCACCUAGGCGACGAUCCCUAGCUGGUCUGAGAGGAUGACCAGCCACACUGGAACUGAGACACGGUCCAGACUCCUACGGGAGGCAGCAGUGGGGAAUAUUGCACAAUGGGCGCAAGCCUGAUGCAGCCAUGCCGCGUGUGUGAAGAAGGCCUUCGGGUUGUAAAGCACUUUCAGCGGGGAGGAAGGCGAUAAGGUUAAUAACCUUGUCGAUUGACGUUACCCGCAAAAGAAGCACCG